UAGAUAGAUGCUCGCCGGAUUGGGCGCUUAGCUGUUAACUAAGAUUUCGUAGGAUCAAGGCCUUCCUAUCUAG
rnacentral:tRNA from 1 species